AUGGAGGGGGCUAGGAGCCUACGCCUCUCCCCGCUGGUGGCAGGUUCAUGGCUGGGGAACCUGUGUAGAGGACCCACUUGAUCCUCAGCCCCUUCAUCUACAAACAGACACACAGGAAGAAACUGCAGGGAGAACUGGACAAGACAGACACAAGAUCAGACGAACGAGACAAACACCUGCACAAGGACACAAUGGGCUACAGAACCAGCAGAGCGGGAUGGAGGGGAAUUAGCAAGACCAAGCUGAUGGAGGAUGGGAGAGAGUGAAUGUUUCAUGCUUCAGCAGCCACUGAAUUUACACUAUGCCUUAGAAAAGAAAAAAUGAAGCUAUCAGAGCCUGAGGCAACCUUCAGACGGAAACCAUGCACUAGUGGGAGCUGAGUAAUCUUCUGGCCUGGGCAUUAUACAUAGAGAGCCAAAGAGAAAGGUUCUAAAAGAUGUUAACACCACAGUUAACUCUACUUCUUUUCAAGACUCUUGCCUUCUUUAUGACUACUCCUAUGAAGCCAUUUUCCUGGCUGCAGAGGUCCUGGGCUAUGACCUGCUCUAGAUUUCUGCUAGCGUCCCAAUUUAGGACCAUCUUCUGGACAGCAC